rnacentral:misc_RNA from 1 species
GAUGAAGAACGUAGCGAAAUGCGAUAAGUAAUGUGAAUUGCAGAAUUCAGUGAAUCAUCGAAUCUUUGAACGCACCUUGCGCCCUUUGGCUAUUCCGAAGGGCAUGCCUGUUUGAGUAUCAUGAACACCUCAACUCUCAUGGUUUGCCAUGAUGAGCUUGGACUUUGGGGGUCUUGCCGGCCUAUGGGUCGGCUCCUCUCAAAUGUAUUAGCUUGCCGGUGUUUGGUGGCAUCACAGGUGUGAUAACUAUCUACGCUUGUGGUUUUCCACUAGGUAACCUUCAGCAAUGGAGGUUCACCGGAGCUCACAAAUGUCUCUCCUUGCCAAGGACAGAUUUUGACCAUUUGAUCUCAAAUCAGGUAGGACUACCCGCUGAACUUAAGCAUAUCAAUAAGCGGAGGA